UACGUAGGUGGCGAGCGUUGUCCGGAUUUACUGGGCGUAAAGGGAGCGUAGGCGGACUUUUAAGUGAGAUGUGAAAUACUCGGGCUCAACUUGAGUGCUGCAUUUCAAACUGGAAGUCUAGAGUGCAGGAGAGGAGAAUGGAAUUCCUAGUGUAGCAGUGAAAUGCGUAGAGAUUAGGAAGAACACCAGUGGCGAAGGCGAUUCUCUGGACUGUAACUGACGCUGAGGCUCGAAAGCGUGGGGAGCAAACAGG
rnacentral:rRNA from 1 species